CUUUCCUUCAUUUCCAAAGAUUUUCCCUAAAAAAAUGCCUCAUGCAGAUACUACGAGAGCCUACUUUUUAAUUCCAUUGGUAUUCUUUUGGUCUUUCCCAAGAAGCUUUUAUGGCAGAGAAGACACUGGGGUAUGGAGUGGUGGCAUCAUUGUCAUUAGAACUUAAACUGCUUAAAAGAAACUGAGCAGUGAAACUUUGUAUGUAGCACGAUUUGUUGUGUCCAAGUUGGCCAACCUGAAGGACUGGGCUCUUUGCCUCAGGAAGCAUGCGAAGACCUUGACUUUGUCUGACCCCAGUCAUCAAAACUGGCAGUUAUAUCGUGAGGUUAAAAGAAGAGAUUUCUUCUUUUGAGAAUGAAGGGCUCAGUCAGAACGCACAGCUGAGUCAUUCUGUUCAUGAGCUAGUAUUCUGACUCACUUGUCAUUCACCCAGCAGAGAUGCCAGGUCCUUGCCUGGACCCUGUCCCUGAGUAAUUGAUAGUCUGAUGGGGAGGCUCAGCCCUGUUCAUCAAGGCUGAAACUGAUGAGCACAGAUGGAGCUCUUUGGGUUCCAGGAAAGGAAGACAACUUUAACAUCACUGAGCUGAAAGACAGAGGAGAUGGUAGGAGGCAUCAUGAACUCUCUGCCUUCACCUGCCUUUCUGAAGGACUGCUGAGCAUUCCUCAGGGGUGGCCCAUCCUCAGAUUAGGACAUUAGGGACAGUUGAUGAGGAAACAAUGACUACAGUUUGUCCCUUCCUUUUGCUAAAUGUAGUCCCCCUUGGGUACCAUAUAUGGCUCUCUUGACUACCAUUUUUAGAGGACAUCUCUUACAAGAUUACCAACAGCCUUCUCCAAAGCAAUGCUCUCUUAGGAAAAAUGGCUUAAAUAGAAAGAAGAGACAAAGAUGGGGGGAGUAGUAAGAGUCCUCUUUCCUUUUGGUAGAUUUCUCUGUGAAGAAAAUGGAUUGUUUCCCCUACAAUUAUGUUAUUCCAGAUCUGGAGGCAGAAAAAAUGGGCCCCUUUCCUGCUUUACAUCCAGGGAAAACAAAAGACCUGAAACUCAACCUCACUACAGUAUUCUACCCAUCAUUCUUAACCAUCAUUUCUUCACAUCCAUGGAUCACAGGCCUUCAUUCUGAACCUUAUGGCCUCAAAGAGUUUAGGUUAAGCGGGAUGCUGUGAGUUUGUAAAUGGGAUGGGAGAAUGAGGAAGAAGGUUGUUCUCUUGGAAACAGCUGAGAGAAACACAGGGCACAAAGACAUGGCACGAGGGUCAUCCUGGACCUUGUGUUAGCUGAAUAACCUUCAAAAGUUCCCUGUGAGAUAAGAAGCCCUCAGCUAAUCCCACAAUGUCCCUUUCAACCAACAGUUAGUUGUCAAUUCCUUUCAAGAAUUAUUCUUCCUUUGUCACUGAUCUAUCCUCAUAGAAAAUGCUGAGAGCUGUUUUGAGGUACUUUAUCAACAGAGUUCUGAAGUCAAGAUGUAUCACAUCCACUGCAUUCAUCACUAACCAGGUGCUCAUUUCUAUAUUAUUUAUUUAGUCCAAACAAGUCUGUUUCAAAGCUACGGAUUAUGUCAAUAGGAGUUGGAUUUUUAAAAAGUCUUUACUGUUCAACAGGGAUGAAAAAUAGCAUUCUUUAUUUAAACCUUCAAGAUCUCCUAGUUCAAUUCAGCAUACUGCACCACUGAAAGUUGACCAGAGGAUUUUCACUAAGUAUAACUAGUUGAAACCCAGUGACUUCUGUAUGUAGAAAUGCAGAGUUAGGAAGCUGUGUUGCUGCAUGCCAGGACCAUGUGGAGUUGUUGUCUUCAGCCUCUCUGCCCCUGCAAGCAUAGUCCUCCUCUCUACAGUCCAGCUGGAGUACUGGAUUUGCCACCAGCCCACUCCACCAGCCCAGGCAGAGCUUCCUCUUUUGCAAAUGAAAACAAUAUUCCCUAAGAUUCCUUCCCUCCAUACAAUGGUGUAAUCAACACACCCAUUCCUCCGAGAAAAAGUGUACACCCUUCCUUACCCAUGCUAAUGUGUAUAAACAUAAGGACCUGGGGGAGUCUCUUUAAAUUGAAGGUAAAUAUCUCCUAAAUCAACUCAACUAUAUUUUUCUCUUGAUUUAAAAGAGAAAGAUGAAGCCAACUGCUUACCACCCUAAUAAAUAUACUCAAAACACUGAUCUUCACCAUGAAAAACACGUUGGUGUCUCCAAUCCCUUUUCUUAGGGUGAUGGCUAAGUGUUUAAGUGUAUUGGGGUGAAGGCCAAAGCAUUAUCUCACCAUGAGAUAGGGAUUGACCAUAUUUGAUCUCUAAAGACACUGUUGACCAAGUGAAACAAAACCAUGCAAAAAGGAAUCCUGCAAACUCCACUGUUCCUUGUAAGUCCACUUAGAGCAGGUGACUGUCCAUUAAAAGUGAACUUUGGGUCCCCCAAAUUAUGGACCUUUUCUGCUUUUCUAUGUGAUACCUAAUUGGAUCUUCUCAACAGCCUGAAUAGUGAGGUCACAUCUAAUAUGAACAUGAGGAAACUGAAGGUCAGAGAAGUUGACCUGCCUGAGGGCAACACCAGUACCAAGGACUAAGAAUCCACCCUGAAUCUCAUGCCCCAGUCAGUGAUGAGCCAACCCCAUUCUUUUGAGAGUUAGAAGUGUGCAGGCCACCAAUUCCCACCAAGGUAGGCAUAGAGAUGUCUGUUCUUCAAACACCCUCGCUAGGAAUGUCUUUCAGCCAUGAGUAACUCCAAAACUGGAGGAAAAUGCUGCCAAAUAGUCUCCGAUACCAGGAACAGGACAUCCCAGCCUUGUCCUGGGGCAUGUCCUGGCCUCUUAGAAUAUAGCUGUAGCCUUUCUGGACUCCAUAUCAUCCCACCUCCUCAUUUCAUCCUGUCCCAUGAUCACAAAUCCUUAAGUGUUUCAACCACAAACUGUCAGAUCAAAACUAUACCAUUUGGAGGGAGUGAAUGGAGCUAGGCAGAGUUGGGGGAUUUGUGAAAUGCCUGUAGACCUCAGCUGGCUUGGAGGAACCAACCACUUUGCAACACCCAGAGCAAUGAGCCGAGGACCAGGCUGUGGGCUGUUUUGGUGAGGAGCAUAGAGCAUGCUUUCAGGAUGACUGCUUUGCUAUAAUAGGCCACAGCUGGGUGCUGGACUGUGGGAAAGUAAGAGAGGAGAUUUGGAAGACUGGGUAGGCAGGAUCCCUUCUGGCCAGAGGUCUGAAUAAGCAUGAGCUACCUAAGCACACUAGGAGGGACAGGCACAUAGGCUCUGCCUGAGCCUGGGACUCAGCAUAAACAAUAAGCCAUAUGUGUAGGGAGCCAUGUGCUCACUGAGCUCAGCUGUCCACCUCCAUCCAUGACAGCAGGACCCAGAACUGUGUGAUUGCUCAUGGGCACUGAGCCUGCAGGUUCUAGGGAGCCUUCUUUUACUUUUGAGGAAUGUAACAAAGUUGUUAAAGCAUUCCCAAAUGUCCUCCAGUGGCCAUGAAUAAUCCAGUACUUCCUGGGCUCCAAUACCACUUCACAUUCUAUUUCAAAGGUUGGAAGACUUGCUAACAUGGCAGGAGAGUUUGUGGUUCUUUCCUUUCUUAGCCUGUAGGUGUGAGUCAAGGGUUCACUCACCUCUACCCAUGCAGGUUGCUGAUAGGAAGCCAGUAGAUCAAACCACCAGCCACAUCCCAGGGGAGAAGGGAUAGUCUGCAGUCCUCGCCCCACACAGGACUGGCCAAUCCCAUGCCCUGAGUAACAGUCUCUUGCUGUUUAAAAUAGCUCCUCAUUUAAAAUUCAACCAGCUGAGAAGAGCUUGCCACGUACCAUUAGGAGGGACAGGCAGACUAGGAAGGGACCAACCAAUCCCAUGAGUCAGAGUUGUUUUCUUGGGAAAGACAAGAGAAGAGCUGCUUGAAAGGCCAAAGACCAACAGACAUGCUGCCUGGCUUCUGCUCCUGUCUGUCUUUGCCUGAGGUGCCAAAUAUCUGUCCCCUCCUCUUGGUCACAGAGAGAGGGCUCCCCAAGGCUCUCCAGUGUGCUAAAAACCUCUAAACCCAUCCCUGCCUGGUCAGCGUUGCAAAUCUCAAGCGGCAGCUCCUCCAGGCCCCCGGCUUCUCCUCCUGCCCCACUGCAUGGACAUGAAGACAGUCGUCACCUGGGACCCUCCUUCAGCCACACCGCUCUUUUGCAGCCUCUUGCCCCAAGGUGAGGCUCUGGUGGAGUGGCCACCCCUGUUUCCAGAUGUCCUUUGGGCUCUUGCCUCUUUCCCUUUCUUUCCAUAGCACGAGACUCAGAGGCACCACAGCCUUGGCAAGGGCCAUCCAUUUGCCAGUCGGAGGCUCCUCGGUCCCCCAGCACAGCCUCCAGCUCUCAUUUGGUUCCCUUUUCCUCCCCUGGGGGCCAGGCUUGAUGGCUGUUCUGUUUCCUUCCCUCCUGCAGCUGGCGUUGCUCUCCUUCCCAUCAGCCUGGGAUAAGGGAGCUGAAGCACGCGUUGGCAUUGGCCAAAGAGGCUCAGGCAGAGACUUUUUCUUCCUCUUCUUCCUCCUUUUCUUCUUCUUCUUCUUCUUCUUCUUCUUCUUCUUCUUCUUCUUCUUCUUCUUCUUCUUCUUCUUCUUCUUCUUCUUCUUCUUCUUCUUUUUAAAGUACAGAGGUAAAAGCUCAGUGAUGUGGGAAACUCCCUUAGGAUCCUUCACCCUUCAGCCCUGGUUUUCCAGUCCUUUUCUUGUUGACAUUUGAACACCAUCUAUUUAUUAUCAUUUUUUUAUGAGGAAGAACCUCACGCUGAUGAGUUGUGCAAACGAUGCCAUUCUUUGUUACCGUCUGAAGGGGCGAAGGCCAUGGUGAACCCCGUGUCUGUUAAGAUCUCCAUUUAUUGUGCUGGUUGAUUUCCGAUUGGUGCAAUCUCACUUAUCAGGGACCUCUGAUUCUAGGAGAACAAAAUCAGCUACUUUCUCUAGAUACUGUAAGCAGACACAUAACUUUUACUGUAAUUUGAAAAACCUUGCACUGUAAUGGUUUAAAAAAAAAGCAAAUCUUAUUGAAACUGAUUUUUGUAUUUUUGAUUACAUCUGAAUUUUCACAUUUUUGUAUCUAACCGUAUCCACAGUAGCGCUUCCAUAGCUUGUGUUCAAGGUCUUGUUUUCUUUCCAGGUUGAAUUCUUAUGAUUGUGUUGAUGCCAAAAGUUUAAGGGGCAGGACUGGGCCUGGCUGAGAACUUGUCAUGGGGGUUGUGUCUCCGGCCUGGUCUCUGGCCAUCAAAGGGAAAUCUUGCCUAGAUGGAGCAAGCUGACGUCGCAUUCCAUUGCGUGAAUUCCCACAGACAGCUCACAUCUCCAACUAAUUCAAGGCCAGUGGUUUUGGCCAAACCUUUGCCAAGGACUCUCUCGACUGAGUUGCCCCCACCCCUGCAUUGCCCAGUUUCCUGGGUAAGGGAGGACAUUUUUGGAAACAAAACUUGUGAAAUUAAUUUGUGAUUAUGAUUUUUUCUUCUUGCUGGAAACGUGCUGGGAAACAGACAGCAUGAAGUUAUCUCUCUUUCUGCUUUUCCAACCAAUACACCUGUUGUGCUCCUUGGUUUCUUGGUGAAGAAAAUUCUAGACGCAGACCUAAAUAUGAACUCUUCCUCCUGUAUUUCCGAUUAGCAAUUCUCCUGUGUAAUCCUAACUGUUGAAGUGUUUUCCUUCUUAGCAUUGCUUCUCAUAUUUUACUUUAUGUUUUUUUUUACUGAACAACAACAACAAAAUCACAAAGGAACAAAUAAUCUCUCUCUUUUUCUCUCUUUCUCUCUCUGAUGUGUAAUGUUGUGUUGUCCAGAUUCUGUAUAAAAAUAUGUAUAUGAUGUAUCUGAUAUUUGGCAGCCACUGGCUGUUACUUUAACCAAUAUAAUUAACAAAAAUGCAUAAUGUUGCUGUUUGAUUUUUUUUUUACAAAAAGAAAAACAACCUAGUUAAGAUGUUUGUGUAUUUUUGCAUGGUUAAAAUGUACUUAGUGCAUUGAGAAAUGUCGUGGAGGUACUCAGUGAAAAGGCUGGUUUACUUUUUGAUUCUCAUGGUGAUUGGUUGUUGACCAGACUAUUCCCAAUGAUGUUUGUCUUCUUUAAUUUAGCAUAAUUCUAUUUAUAACUUGCUUUAGUAUUGAAGACUCAACAUAGUGUAUCUAUCUGUCUCUAUUGUAUUUACUGUUCCUUAAAACCAGGUUGUGGAAGUUCACUUCAUCUGGCACAGGUGUCUCCAUUGCUGAUUUCUGUUGAACUGUAUUCCACCCAAUUGCUGAGCAGCCCAGAUGUGAAGCACGCAGGCCUGUGGACAAGGGCUGCCAUCUCCUUCUGGAGGUCAUCCUUCGAGCAGUCCUGUGGCUCUCCCUUGUCUCGGAACAGCUCUUUUCUUGUUUUGUUUUGUUUGGGUUUUUUUUCAAGUCCUAGUUAUAUAAAGAAGAAGAAAAGGACAGGAAGGAAAUCUGUGUGACUUUGGGCCCUUGCCCACCGAAUUCCGUCUGUAAAAUGGGGAAUUAAGCUACAUAACCUCCAAGAAGACUUGUUUUGUAUUGUGGAUACAUUAGACAAUAUUUGAACACGUAUUACAGUAGAAUUGCCCAAGGAAGUCCCAUGGGUCUAUCAAUCCACUUCAACAGUGAUUACUGUCUCAUGGCCGAUCCUGUUUUGUUCACAUCCCCACAGCUUGAUGAUCACAUUUUCUUUAUUAUUAUAGUUCUUAGAGUCCUGCAUAAUAUAUUGCCCACAAAAUAAGAUAGCUUGCACCAGAGAAAAGUCAGGCAGGGAACUGGUGCACAGAUGACUGGUCAUUACGACUGACUUUUCUCCUAGUGCACAUCUCGUCCUCAGGGAUGUCCCACGCUCAGGGCGUCCUGAGUAACUAGGGCACAGGGUCUCCAUGCUACUGCAGCCGCAGGCCCAAGGCAUCUCUUGGAGAGCACUCCCCAGCCUGCCAUCUCAGUCUGGAGGAUAGAAGGGCUCCUGUCUGCCUUCCCAAGCUCACGGGUGCUGCACCGGCAGGAGUAGGUAGGUGGCUCUUUGGCAGCAAUCAUCUGAGAGCCUCUUCAUCAGCGCCAGGACCUUGCAGCUGCCAGCUCACCCAGCUUCUUGCCUGAAGUUGACCCCAAACAGCAGGCAGCUCUGAGCUUCCUGUCUCCUCAGCUUUAUUCCAAGGUGACUCUGUGUCCUUCCUCCAGAGCACAAAGGAAGGAGAAGGCUCUCCCCUCUGCACUCUUCUGUCUUCUGCAACUUUGUGAGUGGAUCCAAGUCAAAGGAGCUUCUUUCAUCCCCUCAGAGGCCACCCAGGACUCCACAUCCCCAUGGCUGUGUUGCUAUCUUUCCAUCUGCUUUGAGGGACCAUUCCAGAACCCUGAAAUGCUUGUCCUCUUCUCCAGCUGAGCAUAGGCCUCAUGGGGUGUGCAAUCACCAGGCCGGGCUUUGCAGGCCCCAUGGUGUUCCAGGUCACUGGGAUGGGCCAGGUGGUUGCUAGCAGGGGUCUUGACCUGACUUCUGCCAUGAACCUUGGUGCCUGGCCUUCUGCUCGCCAGCUGAGUGAGCCCAGGAGAGAGAUGUGGAGAGUAGAAACUUGGUUAAGUUGCCCCAAGUCAGGGACAAGCCUUCUUUCCACGGAGCCUUCUUUCCAAAGGGCAAGCCCUCCGCUACUGUGUACUGUAAAUUCAGCUUCAGGAGGCCAGGCCCCCUUGCACUUGGGGGACAGGUAGCUGAGGAGAAAGAGACCCCUUCUCACCUUUUGUUUACGUUCAAUCUGGCUGAAUUUAGCUGCCCUUAACCUCUAGUUUGCUAAAGUCCUUAUUGCCUUAAUGACCACCUAAUAAGCAGUCAGAACUGUUGAGAAGCCCCUCUGUGUGUGGCAUUCAUCCGAGGGAGGCCCGCCCCGUCUCCCCAUUGCUGCUGUGCCUGAUAAGAGCCUAAGGCCUGGCUCCAAAGCCCAGGGUUCACCUCUCACUGACAGAACAGAGCAAUGUUCCCAGGCUGGGGACAAGCCCAGGACUGCUCAGGCAGGAGAGAUGCCCGGGCCCCUUGUGACCACUGCCAAGCCGAUGCCCUUCUUUGGUCUCCGUUGCUUCAGAUCUGGACUCUCCCUCUCCUCUCCCUCCACCUCUCGCCCAGAGACCCUCCACCCCUCAUGCUCAGUGAGGACCAUCUAGACUUUUUCGUUCUCUGGAACACGCUACUCCCCUUCAGCUGCAGCAUCUUUCUUCAGCCUGUCCACCAAGCUCUUUAAUUGAACGGCAGUUGCUGUCUUCCCUUGGACAAUAAUGAAUGUAUCUAUUGUAAGUGCAGACCAUGUAGAGAAGUGGCUGGGUUAAGAAAAAAAAAGAGAGUUUUCUUUUGUAAAGCCUGUUUAUUUUUUUAAGCCAGUUUUGAGCAUUUUUAUUUUACCACCCUUCACAUGGUUUUGGGGAACCCAAACUGCAUCAAGAUCUCAUGCCAAAACAAGCCAACGGUUGUUUUCUUUACCUUUUUCCUCCACGCACCAUGAUUUCAAUGAUUGUUUUGGUGUCAUUUUAAAUGUUUUCUUGUGACAUGUACUAACGAUAAAAGUCAUCUUGACAAAAAAAAGAUUUAUACAUGAAUCAGAAAGUAUUUAUUUCAAUUUUGUACCUUUCCAUUUUAAUACAUUAUAAUGUAUUGACUCAACUGAGAUAAUAUAAACAGUUCAUUUUAAUAA
rnacentral:lncRNA from 1 species